CAUGUCUUGAGGAGCUAAUCAGAGUUGCUGUGGGUCAUGGAAUUUGUCAGGAGGGCAACAUACAGGUGUAUUUAAUGGAUGAGUUAUCACUUCGCUCUAUGGUUGCUGGUGCUGAGAAAUGCCUCGAUGACAUUUUCAUUGUUAAAAAUGGACUAUGGAAACAAGAUCAGUCAACAUGUGUGAGUGCACCUUCACCAAUCCCACAAAUGCCUCUGCUCUCACGAAUUUAUUACCCUUGGGAGAGCCUCAGCAAGACAGUACUUGAUGCAUUGGAAGCAGACAAUGUUCUGCUUCCCUCUCAACGACAGGAAGUGGCACACAUGGCAGCGUCAUGGCCCUGCAUAUCCAUUGAAGGCACCUGGUUGGUAUCAUUGAGAACGAAGGGAGCCAGCAGGCAUAAAAAAAUCAAGAGGGCUACAUUCAUAAAUGCGUGAGGCAAUGAGGGCCGCAGAUGAAUAUAGCAAGAAGUGGGAACAUCUCAUGUGAUACAAAGCGGUCAAAUGUUCCGCCACCAAAGUCAUGCACAAGUUAUUUGUAGUCUUUUCAGUAAUUUCCAAAAUAAAGGGUUAUUAUUGAAAAGCUAUCCUCUCUGGACACACAAAACAUGAGAAUUGAACAAUUAACAAUGAAACAAA